rnacentral:rRNA from 1 species
GUCUAUGGCCAUGCCACCCCAAACAAGCCCCAUGUCUAAUCUUGGAAGCUAAGCAGGGUUGGCCCUGGUUAGUACAUGGAUGGGAGACCACCUAGGAAGACCAGGAACUGUAGGCA